rnacentral:rRNA from 1 species
CACUAGUGAUGUUUGAUCCUGGCUCAGGAUGAACGCUAGCGGCAGGCUUAACACAUGCGAGUCGAGGGGUAGAGAGUGCUUGCACUCUUGAGACCGGCGCACGGGUGCGUAACGCGUAUGCAAUCUACCUUUUACAGAGGGAUAGCCCAGAGAAAUUUGGAUUAAUACCUCAUAGUAUUAUUAAUUGGCAUCAAUUGAUAAUUAAAGCUGAGGCGGUAAAAGAUGAGCAUGCGUUCUAUUAGCUAGAUGGAGUGGUAACGGCACCCCAUGGCAUCGAUAGAUAGGGGCCCUGAGAGGGGGAUCCCCCACACUGGUACCGAGACACGGACCAGACUCCUACGGGAGGCAGCAGUGAGGAAUAUUGGACAAUGGGCGAGAGCCUGAUCCAGCCAUGCCGCGUGCAGGAAGACGGUCCUAUGGAUUGUAAACUGCUUUUAUACGGGAAGAAACACCCCUUCGUGAGGGGGCUUGACGGUACCGUAAGAAUAAGGAUCGGCUAACUCCGUGCCAGCAGCCGCGGUAAUACGGAGGAUCCAAGCGUUAUCCGGAAUCAUUGGGCUUAAAGGGUCCGUAGGUGGAUAAUUAAGUCAGAGGUGAAAUCCUGCAGCUCAACUGUAGAAUUGCCUUUGAUACUGGUUAUCUUGAAUUAUUAUGAAGUAGUUAGAAUAUGUAGUGUAGCGGUGAAAUGCAUAGAUAUUACAUAGAAUACCAAUUGCGAAGGCAGAUUACUAAUAAUGGAUUGACACUGAUGGACGAAAGCGUGGGGAGCGAACAGGAUUAGAUACCCUGGUAGUCCACGCCGUAAACGAUGGAUACUAGCUGUUCGGCGUAAGCUGAGUGGCUAAGCGAAAGUGAUAAGUUCCC